AGCAUUUCUAAUCUGGAGGACUUCUGCACAUGCAAAAUUCUCCAAAUUGGGCCCAAGAGAGAAUUAUGGACUUGGUAGUGCCGUCCUUCUGCUGGACAUGGAAUUUUCAGGAACACCUUACCAUUGUGCGGUCUGGCCUGCUAUCUGUGCCUGCAACCCAUGCAGGAUCUCUGGUGGUGCCCGUGACACUGGUGACAGAUCUGUUUGGUCAUGUGCCUGUUCAAGCACGAUAACAUCUAGCACACUGUCUUAGUGCAGCAGUGGGGCAGAAAACUAUUAACAAGGUAAGAAUUUUAUAAUAUCUGCUUUUUUUUUUUUUAAAUAAUGCACACAUUUUGUAUAUAUGGACUGGUC
rnacentral:lncRNA from 1 species